CCUACGUGAGGCAGCAGUGGGGAAUAUUGCGCAAUGGGCGAAAGCCUGACGCAGCGACGCCGCGUGAGGGAUGAAGGUCUUCGGAUCGUAAACCUCUGUCAGCAGGGAAGAACGGUCACUGUGCUAAUCAGCAGUGAAUUGACGGUACCUGCAAAGGACGCACCGGCUAACUCCGUGCCAGCAGCCGCGGUACUACGGAGGGUGCGGGCGUUAAUCGGAAUUACUGGGCGUAAACCGCUCGUAGGCGGUAUGUCAAGUCAAGGGUGAUAUCCCCGCGCUCAACGUGGGAACUGCCUUUGAAACUGGCAAACUGGAGUGUGUGAGAGGAUAGUGGACUUCCAGGUGUAGGAGUGAAAUCCGUAGAUAUCUGGAGGAACAUCAGUGGCGAAGGCGACUAUCUGGCACAUAACUGACGCUGAGGAGCGAAAGCGUGGGUAGCAAACAGGAUUAGAUACCCCAGUAGUC
rnacentral:rRNA from 1 species